GACGAACGCUGGCGGCGAGCUUAACACAUGCAAGUCGAACGAAGUGGCAAACGGGUGAGUAACGCGUCAUCAACCUGCCCUUCAGAGGGGGACAACAAGUGGAAACGACUGCUAAUACCGCAUACUGAAGGAGGGGCUUGCGUCUGAUUAGCUAGUGGGAGGGGUAACGGCCCACCAAGACGAUGAUCAGUAGCCGGUCUGCGAGGAUGAACGGCCACAUUGGGACUGAGACACGGCCCAGACUCCUACGGGAGGCAGCAGUGGGGAAUCGUCCGCAAGGGACGAAAGUCUGACGGAGCAACGCCGCGUGAGUGAUGACGGCCUUCGGGUUGUAAAGCUCUGUUAAUCGGGACGCGGUACCGGAAUAGAAAGCCACGGCUAACGACGGGCCAGCAGCCGCGGUAAUUC
rnacentral:rRNA from 1 species